UACGGGGGGGGCAAGCGUUGUUCGGAAUUACUGGGCGUAAAGGGCUCGUAGGCGGCCAACUAAGUCAUACGUGAAAUCCCUCGGCUUAACCGGGGAACUGCGUCUGAUACUGGAUGGCUUGAGUUCGGGAGAGGGAUGCGGAAUUCCAGGUGUAGCGGUGAAAUGCGUAGAUAUCUGGAGGAACACCGGUGGCGAAGGCGGCAUCCUGGACCAUUACUGACACUGAAAAGCGAAAGCCAGGGGAGCAAACGGG
rnacentral:rRNA from 1 species